rnacentral:rRNA from 1 species
UACGUAGGGGGCGAGCGUUGUCCGGAUUUAUUGGGCGUAAAGAGCUCGUAGGCGGUUUGGCAAGUCGGAUGUGAAAUCUCCAGGCUCAACCUGGAGGGGUCAUUCGAAACUGCUAUGACUAGAGUCCGGAAGAGGCGAGUGGAAUUCCUGGUGUAGCGGUGAAAUGCGCAGAUAUCAGGAGGAACACCGGUGGCGAAGGCGGGCCUCUGGGCAGAAACUGACGCUGAGGAGCGAAAGCGUGGGGAGCGAACAGG